rnacentral:rRNA from 1 species
UGGUGGAGUGAUUUGUCUGGUUGAUUCCGAUAACGAACGAGACGGGAAAAGUUUACUAGUUUUCAGAUUAACUCACGUUAAUUUAAACUUCUUUACUUGACAACUUGGUUUUACCAAGAGGAAGCGUCCCGCAAUAACA